GACGGAGGGUGCAAACGUUGUUCGGAUUCACUGGGCAUAAAGCGCACGUAGGCGGCUCGUUUAGUCAGUUGUGAAAUCCCCCGGCUCAACCGGGGAAUGGCAUCUGAUACUGGCGGGCUCGAGGUCGGUAGGGGUGAGCGGAACUCCAGGUGGAGCGGUGAAAUGCGUAGAUAUCUGGAGGAACACCGGUGGCGAAAGCGGCUCACUAGGCCGGCACUGACGCUAAGGUGCGAAAGCUAGGGUAGCAAACGGG
rnacentral:rRNA from 1 species